UCCUCGGUGGCUCAGAUGGUUAGAGCGUCUGCCUUGUAAGCAAGAGAUCCCGGGUUCGAGUGCCGGCCGGGGCA